ensembl:lncRNA
UCUCUCCCCUUCUCUCUGUCUUUCUCUCUCCCUCUCUCUCUCUCAGUACCUCUAAAACAAUCUGUUCCCAAAGGUAGUAUACGGUCUGUCUCAGAAUACAACUGCCAUUUGGGUGCCAUUUGGGACAAUACCCUAGAUAUAAAGGCAGGCAGAUGAUGAACCUGUACUGUUAGUGGAGGUUACUGGGACUGUAGUGGAGAUAACUGGGACUGUAGUGGAGGUUAAUGGGACUGUACUGUUCGUGGAGGUUACUGGGACUGUAGUGGAGAUUACUGGGACUGUAGUGGAGGUUACUGGGACUGUACUGUUAGUGGAGAUUACUGGGACUGUAGUGGAGAUUACUGGGACUGUAGUGGAGGUUACUGGGACUGUAGUGGAGGUUACUGGGACUGUAGUAGAGAUUACUGGGACUGUAGUAAUUUCAGCUCUGUAGUGCAGCGCUAGUGGAAAGUCAGGUGGAAUUGUAUUUAUUUUUUAUUUUACUCGCAAGGCAGUUAAGGACAAAUUCUUAUUUUCAAUGACGGCCUAGGAACAGUGGGGUUUAACUGCCUUGUUCAGGGGCAGAACGACAGAUUUUUACCUUGUCAGCUCGGGGGAUUCGAUCUUGCAACCUUUUGGUUAUUAGUCCUACACUCUAACCACUAGUCUACCUGCCGCCCCUACACUCUAACCACUAGGCUACCUGCCGCCCCAAUGAAAUCCAGUAGGAAAGGUCUAACCUCAGUAAACUAACUGAAGACUGAAUAGUUUCUGUAAAUGUGUUAUCUAGCUAUAGCAGCUGGCCUUGUCCUCUCCUCACACGGUCCUUUAAUCUAAAGAGACAACAGCCACACAGCAUGUUGAUUACUUACACCAGAUGUUGCAGGAAUACCCCCCCCUCCCCCCCUGUUGAGAGAUAUUACAGUUCAAUUGAACUGAAUUGAGUGUAGUCCAUCAGAAAUCCAACCUGGCCACCUCUAACUGAUUAGGACUAAGAUACACUAAACUCAAAAAAGGAAAAGUUGCACCAACUCAAAAACAAAACAAACAAAACAACCCGAAGAAGCAGCAGAAAACGUGGUUGGAAGAUUGGUCCACUUGUAUUUACCAUCGUUGUUGUUUUUCUUCAUACUGCUUUUUGAACGUUGCAGUAGGAACAAUUGAAGACAUUGACAUCAACAAUUGACAUCAGUAGUCACGCUUGAUUGAGGUUAUUCAUUAUGCAGUAGUUAGGUUGUGAAGUAGCCGUAGUCCAAUGAUAAGUUCUCUCUCUCUCUCUUCCCGAGAAGGUAAGUCUUUCGGUCAAGUUGUCUCAAUUGCUGCUGCCAGUGGAGAUGGAGGUCAGUGAUCCAUCUUUACCCUCCCUUUCCACUGCUUUCUUCUUCGUCUCAUCUUUGAAGAAGAGGAGCGGGAACAUCCCUAAGAUGCAGCCGAUGGCAACUCCGAUGGCUUUACC